GGCCAAUACUACAAAUCAGGGCUUUUCCUCCCAGGGAGCUGGUCGUUGCCCCUUUAACUGGCCCACCGCUGAUUCGGAUCCACCCAUGGGUAAGGCGAGGGCAGCUUCGUGCACACGUGUCCUAGGCUUUGCAAAGUAGGGAUGAGGGAAGAUGGAAUGGCCCAUCAUUUCAGGAACACUCUGGCAGAGGUCAGCGAGGGCUUGGUGGGGCGGGUAGAGUCAAGGAGAUGGCAGAGGAGGGCCAGCGGGAACUGACUUCCAGAAAGAACAGGUGCAUUAGCAUUCCCCGAAGAGCCACAAGGCCAGCUAAUGCCUGAACCUAAUGCCUGAUGGAGCAGCCGCCCAGGCCUCCUGGCUUACGUAGGUGGGAAGAGAAGGAGCCAGGGGCAUUGGUGAUUACAAAAUCGAUGAGGGCGGGGGUGGGGGUGGGUGGGUCGGUUUUAGCUGGGGCAGAGAAGGGGGUAGCCAAGGGAGGGGCCUGCCUGGCCCUUUGCCCACUGCCUCUCCACCUCUCUACAGCCAUCCUUCCAGACCUUUCUGGCUCUGAGCAGGCAGGUGCUCAGAUCGUGCAGGCACCUGCUGUCUUGCCCUGCACGAUUGAAGUCAUGCCCGGAAUCCCUCCCUCAAAAUGCCCACCCACACGGACUGUUUGAAGGAAGCCAGGGUGCUGUCUCACCAGGUGCCGAGCAGGGAGGGUCACUGAGGGCUGGAGCCAGAUUCACCUGCUGCCUCCUUCUCCUGAAAUGUAUCCCCCCCUGCCCCACCCCCUGCCACCCCAUACCUGGUCCAGCUGUGUGUCCUUCCUCUGACUUCCCAUAGUCCUCACCCCCGUCCUUCCCUGAAAAACUGCCUGAUACCCACCCCUUCCUCCCACCUGUGACGAGCGGUCCUCAGUGUCCCCGCAUCCUGCCGUUGCACCCCUUUAUUGGCUAAAUAAGUAGAGGGCGAGGGAAGGUGCCCAUAGGACGUGAGACCUCAGUGAGGAGUGGAGGUGACGUGGCUCAAUGGGGCCCCGAGGAGAGGUGACUGGUGGCAGGCUGGGAGAGGGGUCCAGCCCCCAAGCCAGGGCCACAGGCUGGUUUCCAGGGGAAUCUCCUGGAAAGGGGAAUCUCCUAUAGGCCACAAAGCGGUGAGGACAGCUGGAGGAGAACGUCCUCUCCAGAGAGCUGCUGCUGCUGGGGCCCCGGGACGGAGACCCUGCGGGAGGCGGUGCCUGAGCCUUGAUGGUGGUAGGGCGGGUGGGUCGGGCUGGGGUGGCUUGUCCCCCAGGAGAAUUCUUCACUCCACGGCAGAGCAAGGAAGUGACCUCAGGGUGGAAAGGACACCCCGUGGGCAGAGAGAGAUAACUCUGGCUUAGGGUCCAAAGCUAUAACUUUACCCCGGGGGCCCCGGAAAUUGCAGCCCUCCUCAGCCCCCUGCCAGCCACACGUGGACCACCAGACAUCCCUGUGGCAGAAAGAAUGAUGGCCCCCAAAGACGCCCAGGAACCUGUGAACAUAUUACUUUACACGACACUCAAGGGCUGAUGUGAUUAAGUUAAGGCUCUUCAGACGCGAUCUUUACUCCGGAGCAUCUCCGUGGGCCUAAUGCCAUCGCAAGGGUCCUUCUCAGAGGAAAGCAGAAGGGCCAGAGUCAGAGAGCAGGAAGCCAGCGGAAGCAGGGAGCAGAGGAGCCAAAAAGCGCAUCACAGCCUCUGCACCCGGAAGAUUCUCCCCGGGCACUUCCGGAGAGAACCAGCCCCGCCCAGCACUUUCAUUUCAGCCCCUCCAGACUCGUUGUGGACCUCUGACCUCCAGAAUUGUACGGGAAUAAGUUCGUGUUGCUCUAAACCCCUACGUUUGCGGAAAUUUGUCACAGCAGCAACGGGACAGUAGAGGCACCGCGAAGAUCAGCACCGCAAUUUGCUUACAGGCUGACGAGCGACCACUAGAGUCUGCUGAGUUACGGCGAUGUGGAUGUCAACAGCCCAGCAUCCCCCAGCAGUCGCGUGAGAGGAGAAAGUCUACCAUCUGUGCCUGGAUACAGGCGUAUACGAUUGUCAUCUCGACCCUACUGUUGCUACAGUUAUUUCAGUACUAAGUGCGGGAACUUCGAGCUCAAGGCUCUUACAUGGUGCCGCUGCCUCCUGCUGCUACAGAGGGCUGGAAAGUCCCCUCCCCGUCUCGGUCAGCAAUGGGAUUUGCCCCGGACCACGGUGGUGCCUGCUCCGUGCCGUCCCCGUGCUCCCUCAGGGAACCUAGAGCAUCAGAGGAGAUGCAUGAAAUCAUGAGAAUUUGCAUCACGGUUGGAGUAAAUUGAGGGGAGCUGGCGACAAGUGCUGGGAAGUGUCCUCCUCUCUCUGACACCCUUCGCUUCCAGCUCCGCCAGGCGGCAGCUGGCUCGGGGACUCGGUCAGACUGCAAGCUGGGAACCGUACCACUGCCUAUGAAUUAUCCCGGCCAGCGUGGAAGCUUAUCAUGAGACAAGCCCGCCCAGGUAUGGCUGGUUUUCUGCAGUGCGGUGUGGUGGAAAGAGCCAUCUACAAGUUGCAUCUUUGUAACCUGAGUUUUAUCUGCACGACUCAGAGAAGACAGCUAAAGGAACCCUUUGGUACGCAGCGAGGAUGGAAAAGCACACGAAUUAACACCCGGGUGUGCAAGAGCCAGGCCCAGAGUCUGCUGGUGUGGAACAUACGCCGGGCGGAGAAGGCACCAUGGCCUGGGAACCAAGACAUCUGGACUCGUGUCCCACCUCUGACACUGACUGAGCCCUCUCUGGGCCUCUGCCAAAUAAAAGGGCAGCAUGAUCAAUUUCUAGGUCUUAGUUCCCAUUCUGACGUUAUAGGACUCCAUGCAUAUCGUGUACCCCAAAUGGCCCUCAUCCACACGAGAUGUAUGACCCUGCCUGAGGCAGUUUGCACGGAAUAGAAAUCAAAACCGUAAGCCACAGAGCGCAAGUUCCAAUGGUAGGAUUUCCAGUGUUAUCAUUAUGGGAAGAAUGGGGACAAUGUUGAGGACUGAGGGCGAGGUCUGCCAGGUCACAGGUGGUGCUCGAUCUACACAAGGUCAAGGUGUUCAAUCUGGGCCCAUGGGUACCAGCAAGCCCCCGGCACCCGGCUUGGGCUCCAGGUAUAAACUUAGGGGGUCUGUGGGCUCACUGUGGGCUGACUAUUUAGUUUUAAUGCCCAAAACCAAUUUUAAAUAAAAUAAAGGAACCCCCUAAAUAUUCUAUAUGGGGCUUUCUUUUUUUUAGAGGGACAUUUCAAGACUAGUUUCACACAGGUUUAGCCGAAAGGGAAAUUAAACUCUACAUUUAAAUGGGAGAUUACGCACAAAGGAGUCCAUUACUUUCAAUAUUUCUCAGCAGGAGGGCUCAGAGUUAUUUAAAUAAGUUUAGAUAUUAAACCUAAAGUAGCCAUUAAAGCAAUGUGGGUUUGUUUGUCUGUUUUUUUUUUUUCCCCCAGAAAUCUUUUUUUCCAGCUGACUGAAAAAAUCCAUUGCUUAACCAAUGGAGGAUAUUUUAAUGCAUUAAAAAAAAAAAUCCAGGGACUUUUUAAUAUAGCACUUCCUUUGAAUUUUUAAGUACCAUCUUACGGUAAGUGUCAUCCUUUGGACAGAUUAACCAAAGCGCAUUCCCUUCCCCGCCCCCACCCUGGGCAGAACAGCGCUAAUAUAAACACCGACAUUAAACCAUAUUGGCUAUGGAAGAGGCUUUGAUUGUCAUUGAGAUUAUUUUAAAAGUUAUUUAGGCCCCCCUGUUCCAUCUCUGCAAACCACUGAGAAAACGUUGCGCCGGGUUUCUCUUUGCGACAUUUCUUUGGGGAUUCAUAAAUAUUGAUUGUACCGUAAAAAAAUUGAUGGAAUCUUGAAACAGACUGCAGUUGAGGCAGCUGGGGAAUUUACUCAAUUUUUCUCAAUCGCUGCAGUCUAUAAAAAGAGGAGAUUUUGCAAA